GUAUAGAAAAAGAACCCUCAAGGAAUCAUAAUAAUUGCUAUGGCGAAUGCAGAGAUUAUAUCCAUAAAGAACUGAAAAGAUUGUCCAGACCAAUGUACGCUAUCGAAUCUACUAAAAGAGGGGAAUGCAGGACGAAGCGAGGUUGUAGCACAAGAUCUAUUACCUCCAUUGCCUCUAAUGACGCUUAAACAGUUUUUGUAGUGCGAAAAUCAAUUGGACGUGAAUACCAAUAUGAGAAAACAAUUUGAACAUAUGAUAUGUCGAAUCGGAGGUUCGACAGAUAAGCAGUUUACGCGUAUUAGAAAUACUCUAUCACAAAUUAUCUCUAAUGAAGUAGCCAUUCAAAUAUUAUGGACAGGCCAGAAGAGUGAUGUAAGCUUUAAAUCCACAUCCAAACUAAUAAUCGGUCACAUUUAUUCGAUUAUAUUUACUUUUCCAUACAGCACGGUUUAAAACAUUUUUGUGAGAUUGGAAACAUAGUCUUUUGCACGCAACCUUCGUGGCAUCCAUGAAAUUCAUUAUAAAUGUUAUUUAAAAAU